rnacentral:lncRNA from 1 species
CUGAGAUAAGGCCGGAGACUAGAUAAGGACAGUCUGUACAGAACGUGAGCCCUGGCGCACCGCUGCCCUUCCUCCUGACACGCAGAGCAAAGAAUCCUGUGCUUGGGUCUUGGUUUCAGAAAAGCUGCCUGCCUUCGUGCAACGUCACAGCUGUAGUUCGUCUCCAGGACAAGGCUUUGUGUUUGAGCAGCCAAGAAAAUUAGAGCUCGGAAUGGUGGAAAUAUUCCAAUUCAGUGAUGGAGACAAAUCACUUUUCAGAUGUGGACCCUCAGUCUCGGAGAAGGAAGAUUGGACAAGGUCAUAUCCCAAGGUCACAGAUAGAGGAGCAUGGACUCACGAGUCCUGGUUACCAGCUGACCUCUUCUCCCCCUGCUACACAGCUAUCCAGGAAGGCAUCACCCCCACAGAGAUCACAUCUCGUCCUGGGAGCUAGAUCAUAACAGUCACACACAGACGUACAUGCUGCAGAGCUCUGCUUUGUGUCUGUGGUAAUAAAUGGCAUGUUUCCACACUAGAAGAAGGAAGACAUGCAGUCAGACCACAGAGUUGAGCUUUUGCCCCGUCUGGUCACUCCUGCUUGCUCUCGGGAGGGAACCCAAGAGUGUUCCUGGUUACCCUUUGGGACCAAAGACUCUAACAGCUCCAGUCUCCCUCAGACUUGCAAGGGCUAGAUUGGAAGGGAAGAGAUAAGAUCUUAGGGGUUCAAAGGCCCUUUGUGUGGAGGUCAGAGGCAGGAUAUUAGUUUAUACCACUCAUAGUAGGGUCCUACUCUCUUGAGUUGCAAGGUCAAGGCCUGGGGCGAAAUGUCCAUGGAAGGGAAUAGGAAGCCAAGUCCGACUCUGUGUUCAUUCCGGGCCACUUUCACCUCCCUCUGCUGAAGGUCAUGACUACAGCUCGGUUCUCCAGUGACUCACUCCAGGAAAAUGACAUGUGACAAGAACCUGGCUGUCAUGGGACCGCUUGCCAAGGGUGCCAGGACAGUGGUGGCAUUGUUCAGGAGAGGCUCAGGAAAUCAAACAUCCGGAGACAGUAUGCACCGUCAACUCUCCCACAGUCUGGGAGAGAACAGAUUCCCCGUCCAUUGACCAGUCUGUGUAUUUACUUGUAAAGGGCACAUGGAUCCUUAUCCCCUUAGGUCUCAAGUGUGACAUUUCCAACGCACUAAGACAGGUAGGAGGGACCGUUACCUUUGGAGGUGUUUUGCCUGAUGUCACUUGUGAGUCUAUCCUCCCCACAGCCCUUGAGAUAAGCAUUUAUCACCACAUCUUAUUUUGUAGCUGGGGAAAUAUAAAUACCCAGAAGUGAAAGCGCUCGUCUGGCCACUGAACGUCUGGCCACUGAAGAUGCCAUCCUGCGUCCAUGUUGACAGGCAAACACACGCCCAGUGUCAGGAAAGCUCUGCCCUUUCCUGCUGGUGACUGGCUUCCUCCUAGAGUGCUGGCCCUAGCCAUUGCUGAAUGCUUGCCCUUUUGAAUCUGUCUCUCCCACACACAUCUUCUCUUUGCCCUCUUUUGUUUAUCUGCCCUUCAGGCUCUGCUUGAAGCCCACUUUUCUUAAACGAAGACUUGACCAGCCAGUCUCAAGAGAAUUCCUGUUUCCCCACCUCCACCUCUAUAACUCUCUCUGCUUACACUUCUGACUUACAGCCUUAGAUAGUACACAAUCCCUAUAAACGUUCAUGAACAAAUGCAACUACUAGCCAUACGCUGAAACACCCAAAGGAAUGGAAAAUGCUUUUUUUUUUGAGCCGUAGAAUUCUUCCCAUAAUGGAAAAUACCAAAUUACCAAAAUACCAGUGGUUGGCAAAUGUAUUCUGAGAGAUUACUCGAGAGACCAUAAGACGGCCACACGAUUUUGUUAACAAGACCCAGAAGGCACAGGGACGGCUGGCUAUCUCACCUUUAGCCAUAGACCACAGUCCUCUCCCCAGUCCUUCCUGGGUAGUAAGGGAUGUUGAUACUGCCCUGCCCAGAACUGUCCCUUGCCCCUUGCCAGUUUUAGGGGGAUGAAGCAGGGGUCAACCAAGUACUCCAGGCCUUGAGCAGGCUUCUCUCCCUUCUUAGUAUUCA